rnacentral:rRNA from 1 species
UACGGAAGGGGCAAGCGUUGUUCGGAAUCAUUGGGCGUAAAGGGCGCGUAGGUGGUUCUGUAUGUCUACCGUGAAAGCGUACGGCUCAACCGUAUUUUGUCGGUGGAAACUGCAGGACUUGAGGCUGGGAGGGGCUGGUGGAAUUCCCUGUGUAGCGGUGAAAUGCGUAGAGAUGGGGGAGAACACGCGUGGCGAAGGCGGCCAGCUAGACCAGUUCUGACACUGAGGCGCGACAGCGUGGGGAGCAAACAGG